GUACAUCAGAUGGUAUACGGGCAAUCCUGGAGCAAACAGGAAGGAAAGUGAGGUUACACCUGCAAAUUAAAGCAAAGAGGUGGGACCUAGAGGUAGCAGGAGCUUAACUAUCUAUGUAAAAAGGGUAAACAAUGACAUAUACAGAAGAAAACGCUGGAAGCUACAAUGAAGAAAUAUUACCUUCUCACUGUUCUUUUUGCUACCUGCACAGAUGUGCUGUGUGAAGAUGCAGUAACACAGUCAAGUGAGAUCUUUACAAAAGAAGGAGAAGAUGUACAUUUCUACUGCAGUUUUAAGCAGGUUUAUCCAUAUGUUUACUGGUACAAACAGUUACCUAAUCAAGGACUAGAACUUGUGAAUAAUGCACUUGGUAGUUCCAAGUCAGAUGGUCGAUUUAAUCUGACAAAAAACAACAGCACCUCCUGGACAUUCAGCAUCAGGGCGGUAACACUGCAUGAAACAGCCACGCACUUCUGUGCUGCAAGUGACACAGUGAUUGAGGUGAAUGUAAUUCUGAGACAAAAAACCUGCUCCUUCUCACAGCUAUAUGAGAAAACAUAUAUAUUCAUUAAAAGAUGUGCAGAGUUUUUAUUUUAGUAGAUCUAAUUUUUUUUUUCUAUAACAUGUAGGUAGUGUAUGGAGCAUGCUGAUUAUGCUAUGAUAUUCAGGAAAAGACAAAUGAGUAAGUACUACUCUCAAGGCAAGCAAACAGCUAGUAAACAACUCCUGGCUCAUAAAUAUUUAUGGUAUUCCAUUAGGAAAAAAAGGACCCAGAAGGACACUUGGAAAAUGAUAUCUGAA